rnacentral:rRNA from 1 species
AAAACAAGCGAUGUGGAGCAAACCCCUAAAAAACGUUACUCAGUUCAGAUUGCAGGCUGCAACCCGCCUGCAUGAAGUCGGAAUCGCUAGUAAUCGCGAGUCAGCAUAUCGCGGUGAAUACGUUCCCGGGUCUUGUACACACCGCCCGUCACACCAUGGGAGUUGGCAACACCCGAAGCCGAUGAGCUAACCCGCAAGGGAGGCAGUUGUCUAAGGUGGGGUUGAUGACUGGGGUGAAGUCGUAACAAGGUACC